CGGGCCAUGGUGUAGCGGUAGCACGCAGCAUUCGGGUUGCUGUAGCUCCAGUUCAAAUCUGGGUGGCCCGA
rnacentral:tRNA from 1 species